GACGAGCUCUCCAAACGUUAUUGCGGUAAGUCACUGGGCUUAAAGAGUUCGUAGGCGGCUCCGUAGGUGAGGUGUGAAAGCCCUCGGCUCAACCGAGGAAUUGCGCUUCAAACCGUGGGCUUGAGGGAGACAGGGGUAAGCGGAACAGAUGGUGGAGCGGUGAAAUGCGUUGAUAUCAAUCUGGAACACCGGUGGCGAAAGCGGCUUCUGGGUCUCUUACUGACGCUGAGGAACGAAAGCUAGGGUAGCAACGGG
rnacentral:rRNA from 1 species